rnacentral:tRNA from 1 species
CAGAGAAUAGUUUAUUUAAAAUAUUAAUUUUGGGGAUUAAUGAUAGGGGUUAUCUCUUUCUCUGA